rnacentral:rRNA from 1 species
GACGAACGCUGGCGGCGUGCUUAACACAUGCGAGUCGAACGGAAAGGCCCUGCUUUUGUGGGGUGCUCGAGUGGCGAACGGGUGAGUAACACGUGAGUAACCUGCCCUUGACUUUGGGAUAACUUCAGGAAACUGGGGCUAAUACCGGAUAGGAGCUCCUGCUGCAUGGUGGGGGUUGGAAAGUUUCGGCGGUUGGGGAUGGACUCGCGGCUCAUCAGCUUGUUGGUGGGGUAGUGGCUUACCAAGGCUUUGACGGGUAGCCGGCCUGAGAGGGUGACCGGCCACAUUGGGACUGAGAUACGGCCCAGACUCCUACGGGAGGCAGCAGUGGGGAAUAUUGCACAAUGGGCGGAAGCCUGAUGCAGCAACGCCGCGUGCGGGAUGACGGCCUUCGGGUUGCAAACCGCUUUCGCCUGUGACGAAGCGUGAGUGACGGUAAUGGGUAAAGAAGCACCGGCUAACUACGUG